ensembl:misc_RNA Metazoa_SRP Metazoan signal recognition particle RNA
GCUGGGCGUAGUGGCGCACGCCUGUAGUCCCAGCUACUCAGGAGGCUGAGGCGGGAGAAUCGCUUGAACCUGGGAGGUGGAGGUUGCAAUGAGCCAAGAUUGAGCCACUGCACUCCAUCCUGGGCAACACAGCGAGACUCCGUCUCAA